UACGGAGGAUGCGAGCGUUAUCCGGAUUUAUUGGGUUUAAAGGGUGCGCAGGCGGAUUUUUAAGUCAGCGGCCAAAUCGUGGGGCUCAACCCCAUCCAGCCGUUGAAACUGGGGAUCUAGAGUGUGCGAGAGGUAUGCGGAAUGCGUGGUGUAGCGGUGAAAUGCAUAGAUAUCACGCAGAACCCCGAUUGCGAAGGCAGCAUACCGGUGCACAACUGACGCUCAGGCACGAAAGCGUGGGUAUCGAACAGG
rnacentral:rRNA from 1 species